CUAUCGCCCAACUUACCUUCUGACGCCUUCCAGUAGGACACCCCAACAGCAUGGAGGUUGUAGGGGUGGGAUGCCAGGUUCUUAAAGGGUGGCAGUGACAGGAGGAGAGGAAAAAACAAAGGGAAAGGGAGGGUAAACACGACGCGGAGCUCGGCCACAGGACCCAGCUGGCUCCACGUCCUGGCCCGCAGCCGGCAGCGAGAAUCCCACAGAAAAGCUGGAAGAUGAGGAACAACGCUCUGUGCCAUCCUGGCAACUGUGGGAUAAGAGAGGUGGGAAGCACCCUAUAAAUCACUGCAGGGUAAGAGGAAAGCAAGGGCAGCCCCAGCACUGCAGAAACAUCUGUGGGAUGGCUCUGAGAUCAGGCUGGUGUUUGGGCAUGCAGAUGGGGGUGAUGGAGC